rnacentral:tRNA from 1 species
UGAGCGAUGGCUCAAGUGGUAGAGCACCUGCCUAACAAGCAGGUGGAUGUGAGUUCAAACUCCCAUAGCUCCA